rnacentral:tRNA from 2 species
AAAAAGGUAAGCUAAUUAAGCUAAUGGGCUCAUAUCCCAUUUAUAAAGGUUACAAUCCUUUCCUCUUUA